GAAACGAACAAAAAAGAGUCAAAUCCACACGAUGUCUUAAGAUAUGAUUCUCCAAAAGUUUCUUCAUCUAUCAUUCAUAUAUUAGUGGUGGUUGUUUGAUGAUAAUAUAGCCUCUGCAGCUCUGUGAAAGAUGACAAUGAGAUCAGGUGCGUCCAUCCUAUUCGUCGUUCAGAUCUUUGAAUGUUUUGAAAAAUUAGUACACCAAGUAGCUUUUUUCUCUCGUGUGACUACAGACAAAGAUCAUGUGUUUGAAAACUUGAUAGAGAGUAGCGAAGAGAAUACUGAAGUAAAGAUCCUGGACAACGGGAAAGAAACUGGAUAUGAGUUCUAUGGUUCAAUAAGUGAAGAACGGGUCAAAGAGAACGCUGGAAACAUGUCAGGACACCAUUCUUAUGAAUUCAAGAUUGGCCCUAAGAAUGAGCGCAUACAGGAAAACCGUAAUAGUCUAGAGGACCAUUUGGUUUUCUAUAUGGACAAGAAUGUAAUGGCUCGCAAAUUGCCUGAGACGGUCGUAGUUAGUAACUACGAGGAGGUUACUUUUAACGUUGUCAAGGAUGUAUGCGUCGAUGAGGGUGUGCCUAUGAUGCCUCAUAAGUUCUUAUUCUACGAGAAAGAUUCUGUCAACGUAAAUACGAAACCUUUCGGAUCCAAAUCCUCAGAAGACAGCAAACUCAGUCAAGAAAAUGUGAAUGUGACGGAACAAGAAGUUAAAGAUGAUUGCAAAGUGGCACCGGGGGAUGUGGUAGCAACAUCAAGAAGUGUCUCUAAGGAAGCUUUAACCUUGUGAGAUAUUAUAUCAAUGGAGGGUUCUCAAAGACCAGCCAACAAAAACAACACUCAUGGACCUGAAGAAACAGAACAGGAGAAAACAGAGGAACCAAUAGCAGGGAGCUUGAGAUAUCUUUCCACUGAAAUGGAAGAAUCAGAGAAUCAACGACUAAACGAUGUGUUUGAGGACUCUUAUGAUCACAAUCUCUUCUCAAGAAAUUUACCAAACGGUUUCGGGGAAAGAAGUUUCUCUGAAGCAGAACCAGGUUUAGCUCAUAUAAGUUACUCUGGACUGAUCUCAGUCUCCGGAAACAUCUCUGUUCGAUCUGAUGGAAGCACAGUUAGCGGAAGCUCCUUCGCUUUCCCACUAUUGCAAUCGGAAUGGAACAGCAGUCCUGUAAGAAUGGCGAAACCUGAGAAGACAAAACUUCGAAAGGAGAAAGGAUGGAGACAUUACUCUCUUCUUCUCUGUUGUAGAUUCUGAUGGAGACAUUACUCUGCCUUGAUCUCAAAAUGGUUGUUUUUAACCUUACAGGUUCUACAGAUCGUUCAAAAACACAGAAGAGUGCUUUUUUUGGUUGUUGUUGUUGUUGUUGUUGUUGUUUGGUAUUCUAGUAAAUAAUUAUUUAGUAGUUUCAAUUGCAUCGCUGUGGUUUUAAGA